AACGAACGCUGGCGGCAGGCCUAACACAUGCAAGUCGAGCGAGGACAUCGGGUCUAGCGGCGGACGGGGGAGUAACGCGUGGGAAUGUGCCCUUCUCUAUGGAAUAGCCCUGGGAAACUGGUAGUAAUACCGGAUACGCCCUAUUAGGGAAAGAUAUAUCGAAGAAGGAGCAUCCCGAGUGGGAUUAGGUUGUUAGGUGGGUAAUGGCCGACCAAGCCGAGGAUCCAUAAAUGGGUAGAGAGGAUGGUCAGCGACACUGGGACGGGGACGCGGCCCGGAAUCCUACGCGAUGCAGCAGUGCCGGAUCUUAGACCAUGGGGGGAAUCAUGAUCUACCCCUGCCGCGUAAGUGAUGUAGGCCUUAGGGAUGUAAAGUUCUUUCAGCUGGGAAGAUAAUGACGGUACCAGCAGAAGAAGCCCCGGCUAACUCCGUG
rnacentral:rRNA from 1 species